GCAGGGGAGAGUUUGAUCCUGGCUCAGAUUGAACGCUGGCGGCAGGCCUAACACAUGCAAGUCGAGCGGAUGAAGGGAGCUUNNNCCUGGAUNNAGCGGCGGACGGGUGAGUAAUNNNUAGGAAUCUGCCUGGUAGUGGGGGAUAACGUCCGGAAACGGGCGCUAAUACCGCAUACGNNNUGAGGGAGAAAGCAGGGGAUCUUCGGUNCUNNCGCUAUCAGAUGAGCCUAGGUCGGAUUAGCUAGUUGGUGGGGUAAUGGCUNNCCAAGGCGACGAUCCGUAACUGGUCUGAGAGGAUGAUCAGUCACACUGGAACUGAGACACGGUCCAGACUCCUACGGGAGGCAGCAGUGGGGAAUAUUGGACAAUGGGCNAAAGCCUGAU
rnacentral:rRNA from 1 species